rnacentral:rRNA from 1 species
AUGCCGCUGGACUUCACGAAGUAGUUCCCGUCCGUGCCGCAGGAGUUCAAGCUGAAGACUUACACCGGCUGCUCCUGGAGGGUCACUGUCCGGCUGUUGAACGGUAGGGUCACCCUCGAUCUUGGUUGGGCCACCUUCGCUGCCAUCCAUCCUAUCAAGAUAGGCUACAUUGUGACCUUCACGCUACUGACUCCCGACAGGCUGAAGGUCAUCGUCUUCAAUGACGAUGGCAUUGAAGUGGUAACUAGGUGCGGGAAGCAUGAUGAAGCCUUUGCCGUAAACGCCUAG